rnacentral:lncRNA from 1 species
UCUCUUGGAAUUUAGGCCAGGAUACACCAAGGAAAUCUUCUGUCUCACUUUCUUUUCCUGCAGGGGAGGACACCACUGUAUAUGAGAACACUGUUCACCUAAAAGGCUUGCCUCUGCCUGCACAGGGCCUAGACUCUUUCUCUACGUCCCCUGAAAUCUCAGCUGAGAGUCCCUAUCAGAUGCUGGACGUCACCAGAGUGGAUGUUUAUGAAAAGAUCACUCCCUGGAAGAACCCUAAAGUCUAAGGCAGAGGGAGAAGUGACUGUCGUGAUAUUCCUUCUGAUUUACUUCAUUAAGGGGGAUUGAGAGCUAUCUUUUGGGAGAGAAAGUUGAGAGAUCUAGGUCAGAAGGAAAACCAAUCAGGAGAGAGGUGUGAUGGAAUUGGUAGGUAUCCUAAUGAUGCCAAGGGCAGAAAGAAAGGAGCCAUAAGUAUAUGACUAUGUAUAGCAGCAGUGUUUAUUUUAGCUAGAAGUUAGAAACAAACUGGACAUUCCUCCAUUGGGACAUGUCUUAAUAAACUGUGAUGUAUGAAUAUCA